UACAUAGGUGGCAAGCGUUAUCCGGAUUUAUUGGGCGUAAAGAGUGCACAGGUUGUUAUAUAAGUUUAAUGUCUAAUUCUGCAGCUCAACUGCAGCCUGCAUUAAAAACUGUAUGACUAGGAUAUCGGUGGGGUAAGUAGAAUUUCAUGUGUAGCGGUGGAAUGCGUAAAUAUAUAAGGAAUACCAAUAGCGAAGGCAGCUUGCUGAACGAUUAUCGACGCUUAAGACGAAAGCAUGG
rnacentral:rRNA from 1 species